CACGCGCGCCACUACACACUUCAAUACAUCGUGACCCAGUACACGGAUAGCGCCUGGGACCAUGCUACCAGCCUUAAUAUCACCAGAAAAGAAUCCGACAUACGUCAGUCUCUAGAACUUCAAAACCUCAGACCAGCGACUGCUUACGGAGUCCGAGUGGCUACUGGAAACCAAGUUGGAACCAGCCUCUUUACUGCACCAAUACACUUCACCACACACGAAGAAGCACCAUCAUCACCGCCUAUCAACGUUCAAGUAGAGCA